rnacentral:rRNA from 1 species
AUUGAGCGCUGGCGGCAGGCUUAACACAUGCAAGUCGAGCGGAGAUGAGGUGCUUGCACCUUAUCUUAGCGGCGGACGGGUGAGUAAUGCUUAGGAAUCUGCCUAUUAGUGGGGGACAACAUUCCGAAAGGAAUGCUAAUACCGCAUACGUCCUACGGGAGAAAGCAGGGGAUCUUCGGACCUUGCGCUAAUAGAUGAGCCUAAGACGGAUUAGCUAGUUGGUGGGGUAAAGGCCUACCAAGGCGACGAUCUGUAGCGGGUCUGAGAGGAUGAUCCGCCACACUGGGACUGAGACACGGCCCAGAAUCCUACGGGAGGCAGCAGUGGGGAAUAUUGGACAAUGGGGGGAACCCUGAUCCAGCCAUGCCGCGUGUGUGAAGAAGGCCUUAUGGUUGUAAAGCACUUUAAGCGAGGAGGAGGCUACUGAGACUAAUACUCUUGGAUAGUGGACGUUACUCGCAGAAUAAGCACCGGCUAACUCUGUGCCAGCCGCCGCCGUAA